AUUGAACGCUGGCGGCAUGCUUUACACAUGCAAGUCGAACGGUAACAGGUUAAGCUGACGAGUGGCGAACGGGUGAGUAAUGCAUCGGAACGUGCCCGGUCGUGGGGGAUAACGCAGCGAAAGCUGCGCUAGUACCGCAUACGAUCUGAGGAUGAAAGCGGGGGACCGUAAGGCCUCGCGCGAUCGGAGCGGCCGGUGUCAGAUUAGGUAGUUGGUGGGGUAAAGGCUCACCAAGCCGACGAUCUGUAGCUGGUCUGAGAGGACGACCAGCCACACUGGGACUGAGACACGGCCCAGACUCCUACGGGAGGCAGCAGUGGGGAAUUUUGGACAAUGGGCGAAAGCCUGAUCCAGCAAUGCCGCGUGCAGGAAGAAGGCCUUCGGGUUGUAAACUGCUUUUGUACGGAGCGAAAAGGUUCUCUCUAAUACAGAGGGCUCAUGACGGUACCGUAAGAAUAAGCACCGGCUAACUACGUGCCAGCAGCCGCCGUAA
rnacentral:rRNA from 1 species